GAGUUUGAUUUUUCAGUCGACUGACCAGGCUCGCAUCUGGGUUGGUUGGUCGAAAUCUGUUGAAUUUCUGGAUGACGAAGGGUGUACACCGAAAAGGAAAAAAUUGGACGAACCGAACCGGACCGUACAACGAUAGAACCGGACAGUGCCUGCCGUCCGCUUUUGGCAGACAAAAGGCCGAGGAACAAGCGGCGCGGCUAGCUUGCUCAGCCAUCGAGUCAGCUUCUCUCCUCUCUCUCUUUCUCUCUAUAAAUGACAACGCUUCCCAGGUUAGUGACCCCCCCGCUUGGCCGCUCCGGUGUUCCGUGUUGUGUUCUGUAAUGUUUGUGCACACAAAAUCUCAACUGAAGUGUGGGUUAUUUGGAACUUCACACUCCUGCAGAAAGAAAAAUCUCUUCUUUAGCAAUAAUAUAUGCCACUUAUCUCAUGUACCUGCUGCAGUUGACUCCAGUGUUCUCAAAGUACUAAGAAGUUGUAAUAUUAAGAUGUCGUCUCCAGUGAUUGACAAGGCAGGAACUGAUGAAAUUUUCAAGAAUGGCAUGCAAGAUUCUUAUAUUUCAUCAUCAUAUGAAGCUGCCAUGGAAGCACUCUCCUCCCUCAUUACACGUCAAAAUCGCAAAGACCGAUCACCUGUUGGCGGGAAGUAUGAAAAAUUGGAAAGGAUGUCAAUCUAUCUCGAGAUACUAGGUUUAGAGGAGAGGAUAAGUGAGCUGAAAAUCAUUCACGUUGCUGGAACAAAAGGGAAGGGUUCCACUUGCACAUUUUGUGAGGCUAUAUUGCGGGAGUGUGGCUUUCGAACUGGACUUUUCACUUCCCCCCAUCUAAUUGAAGUGAGAGAAAGGAUUCGUUUAAAUGGGUUGGACAUAUCCGUGGACAAGUUCCUGCUUCACUUUUGGGAUUGUUGGAAUCUACUAAAGGAAAGAGUUUCAGACGACCUGCCAAUGCCUCCCCUCUUUCAAUUCCUUACUUUAUUGGCAUUUAAAGUAUUUAUAUCCGAGGAGGUAGAUGUUGCUAUUAUUGAAGUUGGUCUUGGAGGUAAAAGGGAUUCUACCAAUGUGAUAAAAGCACCUGUUGUCUGUGGCAUUACUUCUCUAGGAAUGGAUCACAUGGAAACAUUAGGACACACCCUUGGAGAGAUCGCCUCACACAAGGCAGGGAUUUUCAAGCCUGGAGUACCUGCUUUCACUGCACCUCAACUCUCCGAGGCUAUGGAUGUUCUUCAGGAAACAGCUUCCAAUUUGAUGAUUCCCUUGGAUAUAGCUGUGCCUCUUGACCAUAAAAGGUGGGAGGGACUAAAACUCGGCCUCUCCGGUGACCAUCAGUUCGUUAAUGCUGGGCUUGCUGUUUCACUGUGUAAAUGUUGGCUACAGAAAACCGGAAAUUGGGCUGAUCUAAUUGGAAAGAAAGAGGAUGGCAAGACAGAUGAACUCUACAUCCCAGAAACAUUCCUGAGAGGUCUUUCAACGGCUCGUCUUUCUGGGAGAGCUCAGGUUGUCCAUGAUGCACCUGUAAUGCUUGAUGGCUCAAUGAAUUCGUCGAGAAAUAUUAUGGCAAAGUUAGUGUUUUACUUGGAUGGAGCUCAUAGUCCCGAAAGCAUGGAGGCUUGUGCCAAAUGGUUCUCUAGUGCCACAAAAGGAAGCAAAACAUCAGCGUACUUGACGUCACCUUCUUCCGUUGAGGUUAAACAUAUGAAGUUGGUCGGUCGAAAUGGUUUCAUCCCACAAGAAACGGAUUCCGGCUCUAACAUGGUAUCGAAGCAGAUUCUUUUGUUCAACUGCAUGGAAGUUAGAGACCCACAUAUUUUGCUCCCACGACUUGUGAACACAUGUGCUUCAUCAGGGACGCAUUUCUCGAAGGCUUUAUUUGUCCCCAACAUGUCAACCUAUAACAAAGUUACCUCCGGGGUCACGAUUCCUUCAAAUGUAUCUUCCAAGGACUUGAAAUGGCAGUUCAGUCUCCAACGAAUAUGGGAGAAGAUUAUCCAUGGGAAAGGUUUCUCCCACUUCUCCAUUCUAUCCACCGAAUCCCAUGUUCGAGAAAAGUUAUGAGGUGGAUGAUUUGGAGUUAUUGCCACCCCGUGAUUUUCUUUAUGAAGAUACAACGCACUGCGUUCCCGACAAACAUUUUUCCUGCAGUGCGGUUAUGCCUUCAUUACCAUUGACAAUAAAGUGGUUAAGAGAUUGUGUUAAGGAAAAUCCUUCUCUCCGUCUUCAGGUUCUCGUUACCGGCUCGUUACAUCUUGUGGGAGAUGUUUUAAAGCUACUGAGGAGAUGAUAGGAGAGCAACGUAUUCCUCAGAGGAGAAUCCAGAGUAUCAUUCUUUCACAAAUUCAUCAGUUUGUCAUUCUUCAAUAAUUGUUUCAUCUCAGCGGAAUAUAAACUAUUACAGCUUAAGGUCUGCUGCUCCAAAACCGGGGCAGGUUCAUAGAUUGCCUCAUCAUUUGAACAAGAUUAAAAUGGUGAGUAAUGUAACAAGAGUAUUCUUUAUCAGACAAUUCUCCAACUGAUUGAUCGUAAGAAAAGGAUGUUGGACCAUUACUCAAGUAAAUCCUAGCUUCAAUAUGAAAGUCCACACUAUUGACAUCA